rnacentral:rRNA from 1 species
GCUAAACGCGAAGAACCUUACCGGGGCUUGACAUCUUUCUGACCGCCUGGGAAACCAGGUCUUCUUCCUUCGGGAAGACGGAAAGACAGGUGGUGCAUGGUUGUCGUCAGCUCGUGUCGUGAGAUGUUGGGUUAAGUCCCACAACGAGCGCAACCCUUGUCCUUAUUUGCCAGCCUGUUUACAGGCGUACUUUAAGGAGACUGCCGUAGAUAAUACGGAGGAAGGUGGGGAUGACGUCAAAUCCUCAUGCCCCUUACGUCCCGGGCUACACACGUGCUACAAUGGUCUGUACAGAGGGUAGCCAAGAAGCAAUUCGGAGCCAAUCCCAAAAAGCAGGCCCCAGUUCGGAUUGGAGGCUGCAACUCGACUCCAUGAAGCUGGAAUCGCUAGUAAUCGCAGAUCAGCAUUGCUGCGGUGAAUACGUUCCCGGGUCUUGUACACACCG